rnacentral:tRNA from 1 species
GGGAGAGUGGCCGAGCGGUCAAAAGCGACAGACUGUAAAUCUGUUGUGGCCACCUCUCGGGAAAGGGGGUGGGGGAUGGGCCUACCUAUCCCG